rnacentral:rRNA from 1 species
GUGGGGAAUAUUGGACAAUGGGCGAAAGCCUGAUCCAGCCAUGCCGCGUGUGUGAAGAAGGUCUUCGGAUUGUAAAGCACUUUAAGUUGGGAGGAAGGGUUGUACGUUAAUACCGUGCAAUUUUGACGUUACCGACAGAAUAAGCACCGGCUAACUUCGUGCCAGCAGCCGCGGUAAUACGAAGGGUGCAAGCGUUAAUCGGAAUUACUGGGCGUAAAGCGCGCGUAGGUGGUUCAGUAAGUUGGAAGUGAAAUCCCCGGGCUCAACCUGGGAACUGCUUUGAAAACUGCUGAGCUAGAGUACGGUAGAGGGUAGUGGAAUUUCCUGUGUAGCGGUGAAAUGCGUAGAUAUAGGAAGGAACACCAGUGGCGAAGGCGACUACCUGGACUGAUACUGACACUGAGGUGCGAAAGCAUGGGGAGCAAACAGGAUUAGAAACCCCUGUAGUCC